AACGAACGCUGGCGGCAUGCCUAACACAUGCAAGUCGAACGAAGCCUUCGGGCUUAGUGGCGCACGGGUGCGUAACGCGUGGGAAUCUGCCCCUUGCUUCGGAAUAACAGUUAGAAAUGACUGCUAAUACCGGAUGAAGUCUUCGGACCAAAGAUUUAUCGGCAAGGGAUGAGCCCGCGUAGGAUUAGGUAGUUGGUGGGGUAAAGGCCUACCAAGCCGACGAUCCUUAGCUGGUCUGAGAGGAUGAUCAGCCACACUGGGACUGAGACACGGCCCAGACUCCUACGGGAGGCAGCAGUGGGGAAUAUUGGACAAUGGACGCAAGUCUGAUCCAGCAAUGCCGCGUGAGUGAUGAAGGCCUUAGGGUUGUAAAGCUCUUUUACCAGGGAUGAUAAUGACGGUACCUGGAGAAUAAGCUCCGGCUAACUCCGUG
rnacentral:rRNA from 1 species